ACGUGCCAGCAGCCGCGGUAAUAAGGAGGAGGGGAGCGUUACUCGGAUUUAUUGGGCGUAAAGAGGGGGUAGGCGGUUBUUUAAGAUCAGAUGUGAAAAAAUCUGGAUUAACARGAGAAGAACAUMMGAAACUGAGGAACUUGAGGAGGGGAGAGGGAAAUGGAAAUCCCAGUGUAGAGGUGAAAUGCGUAGAUAUUGGGGGGAACACCAGUGGCGAAGGCGAUUUUCUGGGUUGAUAAUGAAGAUGAGGGGMGAAAGAGUGGGGCGCCAAAAAGGAGUUAGAUACCCUGGUAGUCCACGCCGUAAAAGAUGGACACUAGGUGUGGGGGGUAUNGACCCUUGCUGUG
rnacentral:rRNA from 1 species